rnacentral:rRNA from 1 species
UACGUAGGGUGCAAGCGUUGUCCGGAAUUAUUGGGCGUAAAGAGCUCGUAGGCGGUUCGUCACGUCGGCUGUGAAAUCCCGAGGCUCAACCUCGGGUCUGCAGUCGAUACGGGCGGACUGGAGUACUGCAGGGGAGACUGGAAUUCCUGGUGUAGCGGUGAAAAUGCGCAGAUAUCAGGAGGAACACCGGUGGCGAAGGCGGGUCUCUGGGCAGUAACUGACGCUGGAGGAGCGAAAGCGUGGGGAGCGAACAGG